rnacentral:lncRNA from 11 species
CCGCAAGGAAAGAAGAAACACAGUUUGUUCUGUUACUUCUGGAGCGUUUCCCAAGGUUCUAAAUUGUCAAUUUCUCUAUUCUGCUAAGUAGGAUUGUUGCCAUCAAGCAGGAGUUUUCUGGUCGCCAACUGACAAGCCAUUGGCUUUGGGUCAAAAGGUACAAGAGCAAAUCACAAGAGAGAAUGAAUGUCUCCAGGAGAAUACACUGUCUUCGAGCUCACAGGCCCAAACCUUUUGCAAGCACCGGAGAAAACGUACAGAAUUUGUGCGGAUAUAAAGAAUUGUGUGAGAGCGAGCGAACGACAAUACAGACACUCUAUACACUGAUUGCCAUGGUCAUCUUUAUUGCGAUUUGGGGAGUAUGGGCGAGGAAAGACACUUAAGCCUACAUAAAAUAUUUUCUGCAUUCAUAGCUCAGAUUCCAGGCCCUGAGGACAAAAGGACAAAGCUUUUGGCCUAUAAACACUGGAGCCCUUCUUGAAUUUGAGAAUGGAAUUAUAUUGAUGGAUUCAACCCAUUUUUAAAAAAUGCAAAUCAUGGAAUACAACGAGAAUGUAAAAUAUAGAUGUUUUAUAUCAUUUUGUAUUAUAAUAUCACAGCAUUCUAAAGUCAAAUGUAAAAUAUUUAAAAUAUAAGUAUAAUAAAGAUACAUGUUUCAAAAAGUCUGCGUCAAAAGCAGCAGCUGAUCGCGAUUUACUUUUG